rnacentral:rRNA from 1 species
UACGUAGGGUGCAAGCGUUGUCCGGAAUUAUUGGGCGUAAAGAGCUUGUAGGCGGUUUGUCGCGUCUGCUGUGAAAUUUCGGGGCUCAACCCCCGAACUUGCAGUGGGUACGGGCAGACUAGAGUGUGGUAGGGGGAGACUGGAAUUCCUGGUGUAGCGGUGAAAUGCGCAGAUAUCAGGAGGAACACCGAUGGCGAAGGCAGGUCUCUGGGCCAUAACUGACGCUGAGAAGCGAAAGCAUGGGGAGCGAACAGG